GACGAACGCUGGCGGCGUGCUUAACACAUGCAAGUCGAACGGAAAGGCCCUGCUUUUGUGGGGUGCUCGAGUGGCGAACGGGUGAGUAACACGUGAGUAACCUGCCCUUGACUUUGGGAUAACUUCAGGAAACUGGGGCUAAUACCGGAUAGGAGCUCCUGCUGCAUGGUGGGGGUUGGAAAGUUUCGGCGGUUGGGGAUGGACUCGCGGCUUAUCAGCUUGUUGGAGGGGUAGUGGCUUACCAAGGCUUUGACGGGUAGCCGGCCUGAGAGGGUGACCGGCCACAUUGGGACUGAGAUACGGCCCAGACUCCUACGGGAGGCAGCAGUGGGGAAUAUUGCACAAUGGGCGGAAGCCUGAUGCAGCAACGCCGCGUGCGGGAUGACGGCCUUCGGGUUGUAAACCGCUUUCGCCUGUGACGAAGCGUGAGUGACGGUAAUGGGUAAAGAAGCACCGGCGAACUACGU
rnacentral:rRNA from 1 species